rnacentral:rRNA from 1 species
GUGAACGCUGGCGGUAGGCCUAACACAUGCAAGUCGAACGGCAGCACAGUAAGAGCUUGCUCUUACGGGUGGCGAGUGGCGGACGGGUGAGGAAUACAUCGGAAUCUACUUUUUCGUGGGGGAUAACGUAGGGAAACUUACGCUAAUACCGCAUACGACCUACGGGUGAAAGCAGGGGAUCUUCGGACCUUGCGCGAUUGAAUGAGCCGAUGUCGGAUUAGCUAGUUGGCGGGGUAAAGGCCCACCAAGGCGACGAUCCGUAGCUGGUCUGAGAGGAUGAUCAGCCACACUAGAACUGAGACACGGUCCAGACUCCUACGGGAGGCAGCAGUGGGGAAUAUUGGACAAAGGGCGCAAGCCUGAUCCAGCCAUACCGCGUGGGUGAAGAAGGCCUUCGGGUUGUAAAGCCCUUUUGUUGGGAAAGAAAAGCAGCAGGUUAAUACCCCGCUGUUCUGACGGUACCCAAAGAAUAAGCACCGGCUAACUUCGUG